GGUUUUUAUGGGAAGUUUAAGCAUGCUAGAGCUGGGAAGGCCAGGCUGCAGGGACCCCAGGCCUGCCUUGCCCUGAAGAGAGAGGUCUCCCUUCCCCAGGACCACCCUCUCACCAUCCACACUUGAAGCCCUCUCCAAAAUCUAGUUUCACCGCUUGCUUUGGCAGACUCCUUCCUCCUGUUCCAAACUUGGGAAUUCUGAGGUGUCUCUUGGCUGCUGCGCAUAAGUCCCAGUUCACAGCUGCAACUUGGGGGACUGAGGGUGGACACAAUGAGCCACAUGCAAAAGUGUGCUGCUGGUUACUGAGGGAAUGGGCGUUUCCUGUACUGGCCAUUACAGGAGAUAAAAGAGCCACCCAAAUCAGUGAAGUCCAUGGGAAUGAGAGGACCUAUUAGAAACCGCACAC
rnacentral:lncRNA from 1 species